rnacentral:rRNA from 1 species
UUUCCGGUUUGAAUCAGAUCAUGUGCGGGGUAGAGGUCGAACAGACCUUGUGAAAAUAGCUUCUGCACUAUUUGUAGCCGCAAUUCAACAUCGAGGUCGCAAACAAUUAUUUUAAUAAGGGCUUAAAUAAUUAUAACGCUGUUAUCCCUAGAGUACCUUAUUCGUCUAAUUUAAUAAAGAUCAUUGUUAAUAUAAAUAGUCCUAUUUUAAUUUACCCCAAA